AAAACCAGCAAAGUUAUCUGUAUUUAAAAAUGAACCCACAAUUUAAUUUUCUUUUCCAUUGAUGUCAACGGAACGAUCGGCCAAUCACAUUGUCGCUUUAAAAAUGUCAUCUGCACUUCCUGUCAUGGCCCCCAGAAAAGAGAAAAUAUUGUAUUGCGAUUGAUAAAAGAUUUGUAAAGAUGACAUUGCCAUAUAGCUCAAUUUUUCACAAUAUGCUUCAUGAUACUGUUUCUUGUAGAAAUGAAGCGUCGGGAAAAGCAACCUUUUCUUAAUGCACUUUGCUCUUUCUAUCAAAAUAGCUAGAGGCCAAGACUAAAUUGGGGAAAAGUUCAUCGAGCGAAAAACCAUGCUUCUGUGGUUGAUGUUUAAAAACUCUUUCUGUUAUUAACUCUGGUGAUUAUUUUAAAUUAAGUUCAAUCUUUCAGUUAAAUUUGUGAUUAUUUGUAAAUAUAUUUGCAGUAUUUCGUUUUAAUAAAACUACUGACAUUACGAGUGGUGUUUGUAAUACAAGAGUUGCCAGGCCUGUACUGCUUGUUUGCUGUAGCUCACAGAAUGUCUGGAAACAGAAUGGAAGUUGAUCAUGAUCAUGAGCAGCCAUCAUCAUCUGGUAUUCCACCACCAGGGACACUAAAACGGUCAAACAGUGCACCUAUGAUCAAUGCAUUGGUUGCAACAACUCACAAUGAAGCAAGUACUUCGACUUUUAGACCGGCUGAAGCAAAUCGACUGCGCAGAUUUAGCUCCAGCAAUAUGGCCUUGCACACCGCCUCUCCGACUAUUCGGGUGCCCGGUCGAGUGAGUCAAAUCAAGAAUGAAGAAAGUCAUAUUCCAGAUCGAGAAGCUGCCCAUGAAAGAGAGGUUCGAACGACUAUGCAGAUAUCCAGUUCUUGGGAUGGAUUUCAUUUGCAGGAUCAAGAACAGAUGGUAUCGGAUCACACUCACAGGCGACCAAGAUCAUUUAGUGAAACGUUACACGUCAUAACCGGUCCGAACUUUCUGUCCGGGCUGCCAUCUCCGACACGUGUGGGGAAACAAUGCUUCUCCCCGUCAAUGCAGGUGCCUGUGAAAAACAACAGCUUUACUCCCAGUCCUAGUCCAAGCCCAACAAGAAAGUCAUUUUUAAGAAGUCUCAGCCCUAUCGCAGUCAGACCAAGUCCAUUGGGCAAGAGAAAAUUGGACACAGAUAGCAGUGACCGUUUCGAAUAUCUUAGUCCUCCGAAGAAACUCAGCACUGGCCCCAGCACCCCUGACAGAGUGAUAGCCCACCCACUGGCCCACAGUGUUUCCUCGAGCAGUUUGGAUGACCACAGUCCGGAACAGACCGUGCCCCAGGGUCAGGGGUCCGUGCCCGACCUCGCACAUCGGUCAAAGUCAAACAUUUUCGGCUUCAUGCCGCUCCGGCACUCACAUGAUAUCCACAUGACCGACUCGGAAUCGUCGGAUCUUGUCGACUCCACAGACAUGAGCGAGUCGCCCGAACAAUCGUGUCACCAUGGCAACGCGGACUCUAGCGGCUUCACACCCAUAAAGCCGCCACAUUUAUGAUGGCAAACCCAACGCAAUAUUUAGGGUGGAGGAGGGGGGAUGAAUGAUGAAAAGCGGUUGAAUUAAAUAUCAUUAUGUUAUCAUAUGCUGCCCGUAAUUGUUUCCUCACCCGUUCAGUGGAAACAUUUAUGAUGGCAAAGCCCACCAAGACUUGUUUGGGAAAAGCGGUUUGAAUUGCUAAGAAAUGACAUUGUCAUCAUGGCAACAUCGUCUUGGUUUCUGUGCCUAUAAAGUGGAAACACUCACGAUGGCAAACCCCACUAAUUCUUUUGUGAUCAAAAGUGGUUUGAAUUGCUGAGAAAAGACAUCAUGAUUGUAACAUCGACUUGUUCUUUUUUUAUUCGUAAACUGGAAACACAUAUGAUUGCAAAGCCCACCAAUUCUUUUGUGAUGAAAAGCGGUUUGAAUUGCUAAGAAGAGACAUCAUGCUUGUAACAUCGACAGGGUGUUUUUUUCAUUCGUAAACUGGAAACACUUUUGAUGGCAAAGCCCACCAAUACUUUUGUGAUGAAAAGCGGUUUGAAUUACUAAAAAAAGGCAUCGUUAUGAUUGUAACAUCAACUUGGUUUCCACAUGCAUUAAAGCGGCAACACUUAAGAUGGGAAAUUUGACCAAUAUUUGUGGUGGCAGACGAAGAUUCUGGGAUACACAGUGGUUUGAAAUUACUAUCUGAUUGUAUCAUUCUCAGGCUGUGAAUUUAGCAGAAAAGUGGUUUGAAGACAUCGACAUGGACCAAUAUUAUGGCGACGGAAGGGACCGAACCGGUGACCGCAUCACCCAGCGUUGAAGGAUACCGACCAGGGCCCCGUUCCACGAAGCGAUCUUAGCCCUAAGAUUACCUUAGGUACAUAGCUACCCUAUGCACUUAAGUUGAUCUUAGGGCUAAGAUCGCUUCGUGGAACGGGGCUCUGACCAACACCGAGGCAGUUUCCACAUCGACACCAUGGAAACCCGUAUAGGAAAGCGAAGCACCAAGGCUGACGAUGGAACAUGACGGUGUUUAUAAGCAGGCAUACGUUAGAGGACACCACACGCAGUCAGAUCCAUCACAUGCUGCGCAGGGUGUUCGCGCAGCACUACGGGGGACAUCGUCAGCAGGUACCAACGGGAGCUGCGUCACUUCGCUAGUCUUGACGACUGAAUACCACCCGAGCCCUUUUCAAGGCUAUCCCUAGGUUCGUAUAGCCUCGGUACGUUUAGGCUUAAAUAGAAAAAAAAAAUCCGACAAUAUUUAACUUUCGGCCGAACCGUUCAAAAUUAGCGUUCAAUCACCAGAAUGUUUCUGGACAUGACGCCAAAAAAAUAAUUCAACUUUUCCGCUUAAAUCUCCUGAGAACUUUUUAAAAGUUUACCGCCGCCUCUUUCUUCUGGUUUAUCUCGGCCACAACAACCGGUCUUCAGUGCUCCUUAAGUUCUAAAGCCGUAAGCGAGAGUCCCGCCUCCCCACCCCCAAUGUGAUGGACGCAAAGGCUUGCCCACGCAAGAACUUGCGCGCACGACAGGCAGGCGUGUGCUACAACAGCUUGCUCUGAAUGUACACGUUAUAAAACCUAUGACCUGACCUGACCUGACUUGACCUGGCGUGGCAAACACCAGUACUGAACCGAAUUAAGUCAAAAAAACAAAAACAAAUGAUUCAAGCGAAGGGAUUGUAAAUGGGUUUUAAAACCUGGAUUUUUAGGAUAUGUUAGUAAUAGAAUACUACAUUCGUCUCCGUUACAUACCAUUUAUCUUACAACUCGUUGGAUGGUUUCAUAACAACUCGUAAGAUAAAUGAUAUCUAACGGCCACUCGUGUAGUAUUCUCUGUAUGCUACACGCGAUAUCAUUACACCUGGCAGGUAUGUCAAGUUCCAGGUCUAAUACUGCAGUCAAUAUUUAUUGAAACGUUCCACCGGAUCUUUUGUGUUCUUGAUGAACGUAGUCUUCCGAUUUAGUCUCUUUUGUGUGAACAAUAUAAAUUCUCUUCUCCUGGUCCACAUCAUCAAGCAUUCGUCUUUUUCUCCGUUCCAUUAUACGUCUAAUGAAAAUAGGCUACGUGAAACAUAGAUAAAAGGUUUCCGAGUGAAAGUGUUAUCAUUUUGAUCCACUGAUAUUUGUUGAACUAUAAUAAAUAUGAUUGGAAAUACGGAAAGCAUGGUCAACGAAAUCCCUAAUUGAUGAAUUGGGACUGGCGUGGAAUUUUGUAUUUUACUCAAUUUAGUUCAUUUUAAUUCUAACCAUUAAUGUGUA